rnacentral:rRNA from 1 species
CAAAGAAGCAGCCAGCUUGCUGGAAGCGGAAAAGGGAAAGGCUUAGUGGCGGACGGGUGAGUAACGCGUGGGUAACCUGGCCCAUACAGGGGGAUAACACUUAGAAAUAGGUGCUAAUACCGCAUAACAACAGAAAGCGCAUGCUUUUUGUUUGAAAACCAAGGUGGUAUGGGAUGGACCCGCGUCUGAUUAGCUGGUUGGCGGGGUAAAGGCCCACCAAGGCGACGAUCAGUAGCCGGCCUGAGAGGGUGGACGGCCACAUUGGGACUGAGACACGGCCCAAACUCCUACGGGAGGCAGCAGUGGGGAAUAUUGCACAAUGGGGGAAACCCUGAUGCAGCGACGCCGCGUGAGUGAAGAAGUAAUUCGUUAUGUAAAGCUCUAUCAGCAGGGAAGAAAAUGACGGUACCUGAGUAAGAAGCCCCGGCUAACUACGUGCCAGCAGCCGCGGUAAUACGUAGGGGGCAAGCGUUAUCCGGAUUUACUGGGUGUAAAGGGAGCGUAGACGGCAGUGCAAGUCUGGAGUGAAAGGCGGGGGCUCAACCCCCGGACUGCUCUGGAAACUGUACGGCUGGAGUGCAGGAGAGGUAAGUGGAAUUCCUAGUGUAGCGGUGAAAUGCGUAGAUAUUAGGAGGAACACCAGUGGCGAAGGCGGCUUACUGGACUGUAACUGACGUUGAGGCUCGAAAGCGUGNGGAGCAAACAGGAUUAGAUACCCUGGUAGUCCACGCNGUAAACGAUGAUCACUAGGUGUCGGGGGUUAAAGAACC